rnacentral:misc_RNA from 1 species
CCCACGUUUCCCAAACACUAUAACCGAAUUCUCCAACACCAAUUUCUGGACAUAAUUUUCUCUAUUGGCUGGUACUAGUACAUUUCCACCAAUAGUGGUGGCACUACCAAUCGGAGGGAAUUUCCGGUUGCCGCCGGAGGUGGCGGUGGCCGGUAUGUAUGUUCUGAAUGGGAUAGCUUCUUGCAUGAGAUCGAUCGAAAAGUUUUUUGUUAUUAAAAUGAAGAGUGAAUGUUUU